GACUCUCGGCAACGGAUAUCUCGGCUCUCGCAUCGAUGAAGAACGUAGGGAAAUGCGAUACUUGGUGUGAAUUGCAGAAUCCCGUGAACCAUCGAGUCUUUGAACGCAAGUUGCGCCCGAAGCCGUCAGGCCGAGGGCACGCCUGCCUGGGCGUCACGC
rnacentral:rRNA from 1 species